AUGAAGUAUGAGCUGAGCUGGGAUUUCCUUGUUGCUAUUUUAAAAGGUGUCCAGUGUGAGGUGCAGCUGGUGGAGUCUGGGGGAGGCUUGGUCCAGCCUGGGGGGGUCCCUGAGACUCUCCUAUGCAGCCUCUGGAUUCACCUUCAGUAACUACUUCAUGGACUGGGUCCGCCAGGCUCCAGGGAAGGGGCCGGAGUGGGUGGCAGUUAUAUGGUAUGGUGGAAGUCAUGCCAUAUGCAGACUCCGUGAAGGACCGAUUCACCACCUCCAGAGACAAUUCCAAGAACAUGCUAUAUUUUCAAAUGAACAGCCUGAGAGUGGAGGACAUGGCCGUGUAUUACUGUGUGAAAGACACAGUGAGAAGAGGUCAGUUGUGA